rnacentral:rRNA from 1 species
GGGAGCCGUAACACAGGUGCUGCAUGGCUGUCGUCAGCUCGUGUCGUGAGAUGUUGGGUUAAGUCCCGCAACGAGCGCAACCCUUGUCAUUAGUUGCCAUCAUUAAGUUGGGCACUCUAAUGAGACUGCCGGUGACAAACCGGAGGAAGGUGGGGAUGACGUCAAGUCCUCAUGGCCCUUAUGAGCAGGGCUUCACACGUCAUACAAUGGUCGGUACAGAGGGUUGCCAAACCGCGAGGUGGAGCUAAUCUCUUAAAGCCGAUCGUAGUCCGGAUUGGAGUCUGCAACUCGACUCCAUGAAGU